rnacentral:sRNA from 1 species
AUGGCUCGAGAAGUUGGAUGAAAAUUUGGAAAAUUUCCAAAAAGCAAGGCGAGUACACCGUACUCGCGAGCGUGUGGUGUUGCAGUGCCCCCACAACUUUUCCGGUCAACUUUCCGAUGACUCAACUCGACGAGUGCGAUGGCGCGUGGCCCCAGGCCGCCGCUUUGUGACGGCGCAUGAGGGAACCCAAGGUCCCUCCUUAGGUUUUUCGACGUCCCGAAUUUGAAUUUGACGUCUGUAUUCCCAAAUUUAAUUGUUUUAGUAGGGUUUUACUAAUUGUUCCCUUUAUGUGCUUAGGUGUGUUUGUUAGUGGCGAUCCCGUCCUCUCUAGUUUGCACAACUCUUCGGCGACAGAGUAUCUAAUCGAAGCAUAUGAUCUUGGCGUCAGGACAUUUCCGCAUAGGCAUCUUCGAGUCUUCUCAGUAUUCAAAUAACAAAGUUAGCAACAAAGUGCUAUUUGGAGCAUUUUUGGGCCAAAAUUGGA